rnacentral:rRNA from 1 species
GGGGAAUCUUGCGCAAUGGGCGGAAGCCUGACGCAGCGACGCCGCGUGCGGGAGGAAGGCCCUCGGGUCGUAAACCGCUUUCAGCAGGGACGAGGCCGCAAGGUGACGGUACCUGCAGAAGAAGCCCCGGCUAACUACGUGCCAGCAGCCGCGGUAAUACGUAGGGGGCGAGCGUUAUCCGGAUUCAUUGGGCGUAAAGCGCUCGUAGGCGGCCUGCUAGGUCGGGAGUCAAAUGCGGGGGCCCAACCCCCGGCCGCUCCCGAUACCGGCGGGCUUGAGUUUGGUAGGGGAAGGCGGAAUUCCCGGUGUAGCGGUGGAAUGCGCAGAUAUCGGGAAGAACACCGGUGGCGAAGGCGGCCUUCUGGGCCACAACUGACGCUGAGGAGCGAAAGCUGGGGGAGCGAACA